UACCUCAGUAACGGCGAGUGAAGCGGUAACAGCUCAAAUUUGAAAGCUAGCUCUUUUAGGGUUCGCAUUGUAAUUUGUAGAAGAUGCUUCGGGUGUGGCCCCGGUCUAAGUUCCUUGGAACAGGACGUCAUAGAGGGUGAGAAUCCCGUAUGUGACUGGGUGCUUUCGCUCAUGUGAAGCUCUUUCGACGAGUCGAGUUGUUUGGGAAUGCAGCUCAAAAUGGGUGGUAAAUUUCAUCUAAAGCUAAAUAUUGGCCAGAGACCGAUAGCGCACAAGUAGAGUGAUCGAAAGAUGAAAAGCACUUUGGAAAGAGAGUUAAACAGUACGUGAAAUUGUUGAAAGGGAAGCGCUUGCAACCAGACUUGCGCGCUGAUGAUCAUCCGGGCUUCUGCCCGGUGCACUCGUCUGCGCUCAGGCCAGCAUCGGUUUCGGUGGUGGGAUAAAGGCCUUGGGAAUGUAGCUCCUCUCGGGGAGUGUUAUAGCCCUCGGUGCAAUGCCGCCUACCGGGACCGAGGACCGCGCUUCGGCUAGGAUGCUGGCGUAAUGGUUGUAAGCGACCCGUCUUGAAACACGGACCAAGGAGUCUAACAUCUAUGCGAGUGUUUGGGUGUCAAACCCAUACGCGUAAUGAAAGUGAACGGAGGUGAGAACCCUUAAGGGUGCAUCAUCGACCGAUCCUGAUGUCUUCGGAUGGAUUUGAGUAAGAGCAUAGCUGUUGGGACCCGAAAGAUGGUGAACUAUGCGUGAAUAGGGUGAAGCCAGAGGAAACUCUGGUGGAGGCUCGCAGCGGUUCUGACGU
rnacentral:rRNA from 2 species